CGGGGCGUAGCUCAGUGGUACAGCACUUGCCUAGAACACGCAAGGCCCUGGGUUCAAUUCCUAGCACUGCAA
rnacentral:tRNA from 1 species